CAUGUCCAUCGAAGUAUCCUGGUCGAUCUGCUGGUUGAUAAACUCUGGUACUACAGAAAAACAGAUUUGCUUUCCUGUGCAAGGUUUACAUUUUUUUUCCUGCUGUGCACUUAUAUACCCUUCAUUGUUUAUUUGAUUGACAGGUGUACUCUUUGAUUCUGCUGUUGAGACAGAAGAGCCUGUUGGGUUUUUCAUCCAUGAGCGUAUGCUUGUCACCAUUUCCUCCAUAUAAAGGGCAUCAAGUACUAGAAAAGACAUAAAAGAUAACAGUUUAUAUUGACUCCAUAAACAGGAUUCAUUUUAAAUUGUCACAUACUAGUAGAUCAAGAAAAAAUAAUAUAGUCUUGCAGGAACUACAUUUAAAGUCUACUUUUGUGUAUGAAAUCAUUCCAUCAACUCGGGUUACCUUAAAGAAGUCAUCUUGAGCGAGUAUACUGCAAUUUGGAAGCUGUUUCCUAAGUCGUUUUGCCAGUGUUGUUU